rnacentral:rRNA from 1 species
AUUGAACGCUGGCGGCAGGCCUAACACAUGCAAGUCGAACGAGUGGCGGACGGGUGAGUAAUGUCUGGGAAACUGCCUGCUGGAGGGGGAUAACUACUGGAAACAGUAGCUAAUACCGCAUACCAUCAGAUGUGCCCAAAUGGGAUUAGCUUGUUGGUGGGGUAACGGCUCACCAAGCCGACGAUCCCUAGCUGGUCUGAGAGGAUGACCAGCCACACUGGAACGGAGACACGGUCCAGACUCCUAUGGGAGGCAGCAGUGGGGAAGAUUGCACAAUGCGCUCAAGCCUGAUCCAGCCCUGCCGCGUGUAUGAAGAAGGCCUUCGUGUUGUAAAGUACUUUCAGCGGGAAGGCGUUACCCGAAGAAGAAGCACCGGCUAACUCCGUGCCAGCAGCCGCGGUAAUAC